UGCAACAAACAGGCCAUAAGUUGUUUUUAAGAUGUAUUCUGCUACUCGCGACGGAAACAAAUCCAACAAAUCAAAAACCAUGGCAAUCGGUCCAGCCGUUCUCGAGUUAUAAGUGCUUUACAAAAUACGACUUUCUUUUAUAUAUAUAUAUAGAUAUAGAUAGAUUAUCCAUAUUUUAGCAAGUUUUCAAGCCACAAACAUUUAACUUUGAUUGGGCAGUCGGUGCUCCCAUUUUAUUAGCAUCUUAAUAGUGAUUUGUUGUCAAACUGUUGGGCUCAGGCAAACGGAUAAAUUUAUAGAUUAAGUUUUGCAUAUGUAGAUAAUUAAUUAAAAGUUGUUGUCCCAAAAAACGAUGGAGAGUGCCGCUCGAGUUAAUGGCUAGUUACGUAGCGCAAAUCACUGCCCUUUGCUUAUUUAUUUAUUCAUCAUCUGCCGAAUCAAAUUGUUCUUUCAACUGCGCAAUUUCAUC
rnacentral:lncRNA from 1 species